GAAAAGAUAUGGACUUUGUACACUGUACUUGCAAUUCAAUGACAGAAGGAGAGAGGAGGGCAAUAUCUGGUAUUAUGAAAGAAGGAGAGAUCAUUUUGCAGUUUGGUGAUGGUUGGAGAGAGAUGAGAGCAAUGUAUGGUUUUAGAUGAAAGAAGACAACGAUUUUGAAGUUGGGGCUGAAUAUGUAGGACCCACAGAGUUUUUUAGCAGUAUUCGACUAUUUGUAUUUAGAUAUUUUAAUAUACAUAUUUUUUAUUUAUUAAUUAUAUGGAGUCACCAAAGAUUGUAUUGGUGGGUAGACUUCAUAUGUGAGACCCAUAAUAGUAGACACCAAAAAAAUGAUAGUGAGUUUUUGGGUAAUUGUCACGCCAGCAAUGGAAAGCUACAAA